CCUACGGGAGGCAGCAGUGGGGAAUAUUGCACAAUGGGGGAAACCCUGAUGCAGCGACGCCGCGUGAGUGAAGAAGUAAUUCGUUAUGUAAAGCUCUAUCAGCAGGGAAGAAAAUGACGGUACCUGAGUAAGAAGCCCCGGCUAACUACGUGCCAGCAGCCGCGGUAAUACGUAGGGGGCAAGCGUUAUCCGGAUUUACUGGGUGGAAAGGGAGCGUAGACGGGAGUGCAAGUCUGGAGUGAAAGGCGGGGGCUCAACCCCCGGACUGCUCUGGAAACUGUACGGCUGGAGUGCAGGAGAGGUAAGUGGAAUUCCUGGUGUAGCGGUGAAAUGCGUAGAUAUUAGGAGGAACACCAGUGGCGAAGGCGGCUUACUGGACUGUAACUGACGUUGAGGCUCGAAAGCGUGGGGAGCAAACAGGAUUAGAUACCCGAGUAGUC
rnacentral:rRNA from 1 species